UACGUAGGUCCCGAGCGUUGUCCGGAUUUAUUGGGCGUAUAGCGAGCGCAGGUGGUUUAUUAAGUCUGGUGUAAAAGGCAGUGGCUCAACCAUUGUAUGCAUUGGAAACUGGUAGACUUGAGUGCAGGAGAGGAGAGUGGAAUUCCAUGUGUAGCGGUGAAAUGCGUAGAUAUAUGGAGGAACACCGGUGGCGAAGGCGGCUUACUGGACUGAAACUGACGUUGAGGCUCGAAAGCGUGGGGAGCAAACAGG
rnacentral:rRNA from 1 species